rnacentral:rRNA from 1 species
UUCCUACGGGACGCAGCAGUGAGGAAUAUUGGUCAAUGGGCGAGAGCCUGAACCAGCCAAGCCGCGUGAAGGAUGACGGCCCUACGGGUUGUAAACUUCCUUUAUAAAGGAAUAAAGUGAGGCACGUGUGCCUUUUUGUAUGUACUUUAUGAAUAAGGAUCGGCUAACUCCGUGCCAGCAGCCGCGGUAAUACGGAGGAUCCGAGCGUUAUCCGGAUUUAUUGGGUUUAAAGGGAGCGUAGAUGGGUUGUUAAGUCAGUUGUGAAAGUUUGCGGCUCAACCUCAAAAUUGCGAUUGAUAUUGGCG